rnacentral:rRNA from 1 species
CCUACGGGUGGCAGCAGUCGAGAAUCAUUCGCAAUGGGGGAAACCCUGAUGGUGCGACGCCGCGUGGGGGAAUGAAGGUCUUCGGAUUGUAAACCCCUGUCAUGUGGGAGCAAAUUAAAAAGAUAGUACCACAAGAGGAAGAGGCGGCUAACUCUGUGCCAGCCGCCGCGGUACUACAGAGGUGUCAAGCGUUGUUCGGAAUCACUGGGCGUAAAGCGUGCGUCGGCUGUUUCGUAAGUCGUGUGUGAAAGGCGCGGGCUCAACCCGCGGACGGCACAUGAUACUGCGAGACUAGAGUAAUGGAGGGGGAACCGGAAUUCUCGGGGUAGCAGUGAAAUGCGUAGAUAUCGAGAGGAACACUCGUGGCGAAGGCGGGUUCCUGGACAUUAACUGACGCUGAGGCACGAAGGCCAGGGGAGCGAAAGGGAUUAGAUACCCGAGUAGUC